UUAGGUCCUGAGCUACAGGCAGUUAGAUUUGGGUAGGUCAUUUUAGGUCCUGAGCUACAGGCAGUUAGAUUUGGGUAGGUCAUUUUAGGUCCUGAGCUACAGGCAGUUAGAUUUGGGUAGGUCAUUUUAGGUCCUGAGCUACAGGCAGUUAGAUUUGGGUAUGUCAUUUUAGGUCCUGAGCUACAGGCAGUUAGAUUUGGGUAUGUCAUUUUAGGUCCUGAGCUACAGGCAGUUAGAUUUGGGUAUGUCAUUUUAGGUCCUGAGCUACAGGCAGUUAGAUUUGGGUAUGUCAUUUUAGGUCCUGAGCUACAGGCAGUUAGAUUUGGGUAUGUCAUUUUAGGUCCUGAGCUACACGCAGUUAGAUUUGGGUAUGUCAUUUUAGGUCCUGAGCUACAGGCAGUUCGAUUUGGGUAUGUCAUUUUAGGUCCUGAGCUACAGGCAGUUAGAUUUGGGUAGGUCAUUUUAGGUCCUGAGCUACAGGCAGUUAGAUUUGGGUAGGUCAU